GGUCGCGUAGCUCAACGGGAGAGCACCGGAUUGUCUAUCCGGGUGUUGCGGGUUCGAAUCCCGUCGCGAUCGCCA
rnacentral:tRNA from 2 species